rnacentral:rRNA from 1 species
CGGUAUGCUACACAUGCAAGUCGAACGGAAUCUUCGGAUUUAGUGGCGGACGGGUGAGUAACGCGUGAGAAUCUGCCUUCAGGAUGGGGACAACAAUUGGAAACGAUUGCUAAUACCCGAUAUGACGAAAGUUGAAAGAUUUAUCGCCUGGAGAUGAGCUCGCGUCAGAUUAGCUAGAUGGUGUGGUAAAGGCGCACCAUGGCGACGAUCUGUAGCUGGUCUGAGAGGAUGAGCAGCCACACUGGGACUGAGACACGGCCCAGACUCCUACGGGAGGCAGCAGUGGGGAAUUUUCCGCAAUGGGCGCAAGCCUGACGGAGCAAUACCGCGUGAGGGAGGAAGGCUCUUGGGUCGUAAACCUCUUUUCUCAGGGAAGAAUACAAUGACGGUACCUGAGGAAUCAGCAUCGGCUAACUCCGUGCCAGCAGCCGCGGUAAUACGGAGGAUGCAGGCGUUAUCCGGAAUGAUUGGGCGUAAAGCGUCCGUAGGUGGUUAUGUAAGUCUGUGGUUAAAGCGUGGGGCUCAACCCCAUAAAGGCCAUGGAAACUACAAGACUUGAGUGAAGUAGGGGUAGAGGGAAUUCCCAGUGUAGCGGUGAAAUGCGUAGAGAUUGGGAAGAACACCGGUGGCGAAAGCGCUCUACUGGACUUAAAC